GCAACAGAACAAGGCUCUGUCUAAAAAUCAAAUCAAAUCAAAUCAAACUCUAUCACCAUCACCUGGGUAGUUCCUUCCAUUCUCCUAUGACUUCCAAUAAGUCAUUAGCAGGUCACCUAUCAUCUCUUUAAUUUCUUCAAAAACAAAAUCUCAAACUUGCAUUUGGGAAACUGAGAAACUUUCAGGAAACACAGAAACACGUCUUCAGGACCUUGGACAGCAGGGGAAAAAAAAAAAAAAACGCCCCCAGCCCCAGCCCAAAGCAGGACACUCACACCAGCAAGACUGCUGAGGAAAUGUGACAUCUCAACAUGCUGAUGAGGGAAAGAACGAAUAAAGGGCCAUACAGUCAUCAAUGGAGAGUGUUCGGGGAGGUAUGAAGACUCAGGCUACAACAGUCAAGAGGACCCCUGGGCCCUACAGAAUGCCUAGUCCGACUUCCUAAUACUCUAAGCCAGAGAAGGACAUUCUCUACACCUACAUUACAGCCAACUUCCCUCUUCAGACAUUGAUUUUUAAAAGAAUAUAUAGAAUAGAAUAUUGAGACCUUUUCAAAUUCCUUAGGGAAAAAUGCAUAAAAACAGAACUUGCAGUUCAUGGAUCUAGAAAUAGCCUUACAAAUGAUAAAGAAAAUUUCACAAAGGUAAAAUAUCUCACCAAGGUAGAGUAACACAAGAGCUGUUGACCCAGGAUUAGUCCUUGGACAGUUUUUUUUAAUUUAUAAUUGGUGAGUGGCUAAAGAUCUGGAUGAUUCUUCUAGCUCGGCCACACACCAGAUGUGUGACCUUUGGCAAAUUACUCAAUCAUGCUGGGUUCCUUCUUUGAACUGAGCCCCCACCCCCACCCCAUGUGUUAGGCACUGUUAGGGAAUGAAAAACAAAAUCAAUCUCCAUGCUAAAGUAGCUCUCCAGUGUAGCACAGUUCAGAUAUGAAAAUAUCAAUAAUCCAACAAUACUAGUUAAACAUAUAAAAGUAGUAUAGAGAAGAACAUUAACAACCUGAUGUUUAGAGCAAGAUUAGGAGGGUUUCACAAUAUAAGCAAAGGGAAAUCCAGGAAGAGGAAAGUAAAAGCAUCAAGCGAUGCAACAGGGCAUUAGAUUUAGGAAACCAUCAAUAAUUUAGUUUUGAUGGAUGGCAAUGGUGGGGAGAGAUACAGGGUAAUGAAACCUAUCAUAUACUGAUGUUGUGGAAGUCAAAUGAGACAAGUCACUAUAGAUAAUCAUUAGCUACUAUUAUGCCAACAGCUAUCCCUAUGAGAAAAAAAUUGCUUAAUUUAAUAUUUAUAGAAAACCUAUUUGCUCACUAUACUAGGGGCAGCUCCUUUCGGUCCCUUCCUAAAGAAAUAGAGCCAGUUUGAAAAACAGGGAAAUCAAGUUCCAUACUUUCCUAGUCUAUGAAACACCAGUCAAGAGGUAAAAGUGCUUCCUCUAUCCAUAUCCUGAUUCUUCCACUGAAAUGUCACUUAGUGGAGCACAUCUUUUACUUGUGUGAUUUGAAAACAAGGCUUUGCCUAUAGACCAGGGUAUGCAAGGGAUCACCUCUGGGACGAUCUCAUGGCACUGAGCACUCAAGCAAGGUGGUAACGUAAGAGUCAGACUUGAUAAAGUCCAUUUCCCAGGACCACUUGACAAUAACGGCACAGAAAAGUGGUCUGAGGAAUAAUCUUCACACUAUUACCAUUUUCAGCCUCUUGUACUUAAUACUAAUUUUCUUAGUUUCCUAUAAUUAGGUAUGUACACAUGAGCUAGUAGCAGCCACAGUCCUACAAUCUGACUAGUUCAUGCCCAACUCCAUGCCUGCAUCAGGGACAUCUGGCUAUUGUAGUGUCACAGAAAGUCUCUUCUCUGGUGAAGAGUAUCUAGAGACACCCAUGAAUUUUAAUAUCUAUACCCUGUACUGGUUUGAACAGUGUCCCCCAAACUCAGGUCCACCCAGAACCUCAGAAUGUAAUCUUAUUUGGAAAUAGGGUCUUUGAAGAUACAAUCAAGUUAAGAUGAGGUCAUACUGAAUUAAAGGUGAACCCUUAAUUCAACAACUAGUUUCCCUGUAAGAGGGAAACUUGGAUGCAGAGAGACACACCCACAGAGAUGGAGGGAGAGAUUGGAGUGAUGAGUCUACAAGCCAAAGAAUGCCAAAGAUUGCCGGCAAAUGCCAAAAGCUGGGAGAGAGGCAGGAAAGAGAUGCUCCCUCAGACCCUCCAGGAGGAACCAACCUGGCUGACACUUGGAUUUCAGACUUCUGGCCUCCAGAAUUUUGAGAGAAUACAUUUCUGUUGUUUUAAACCACCCAGUUUUUGGUAGCUUGUUAAAGCAGCCCUAGGAAAUGAAUGUAUACCACCACCACUCCACAGUACAUCUAUUUUCCUUCUAUAUGCCCAACUUUUUUAUCUUCUCAGAGGAUGGUUAUAAACCCUAGUUAUUGUAUCAACACACAGGAAGGGACACUGAGCAGAACAGCAGGAGAAUGAACAAUUAGUAUCAGAUUAGCAACUUCACAGGUAAGGUAAAGGGCAUGAGAAUUUACUUCUGAAGGCUCUAUAAUAUGACACUCUUUAAAAACCUUGUGGUUUUUGUAUAUACAUCUACGCGUUCUUUGAUAUGCUUCCUUUGAAAAGGCAGAGCCUAAUUCCCCUCCCUUUGAGUGUGGUCAGUGCUCGAUGACUUGCUUCUAACAAACAGAAGUGAUAGAUGUGAAUUAGGUCAUUAAAAACACUGUAGCUUUCUCCCUGCUCUCGCUCUUAAAUAACUUGCUCUGGAGGAUGCUAGCAGCCAUGCCAUGAAGAUACUCUAAAAGGAGAUUUAUGUGACAGGAAACACACCUUCUGCCUCAGGCACACCCAGCACACUGCCAGGCACAUGAGUGAACCACCUUGGAAGAGGAUCCUCCAGCCCUGCUCACACUUUCAGAACUGCAUUCCCAGCUGAUAUCAACUGGAACCACAUUAGACUCUGAGCCAGAGCCACUCAGCUAUGCCAUUUCCAGAUUCCUAACCACGCAAACUGUGAGACAAGUUUAUUGUUUUCAACCAUUAAUCUUUGGAGAAAAACAGGGCAAUAGAUAACUAACACAAGAACCUUUAACAUAGUCUUCAAGUCCUUGUAAGUACUCUUCCUGCCUACAAGAUACCCACUAUGUGAUUUCUUCCUGCCUCUAACAUACCUCUGGAACAAGUGCAAUUCCAAAUCCCUUAAUCCGAGCUAGAGCAUAGAAUUCACAGGACCUCUGCCUUUGUCCUCCUCCAGCUCAGACACUGACGUCCAUAUCAUGAAUGCGCUAACAAAGGGAGAAUCAUGAGUGGAAUCCAGUAUCAGUAGCUGGGAGCAAAGGACACUUGAGUCUGCUUCUUGGUAAACCCAAACCAUGACAUCUUUCAUCUUUUGAGCCAACUCUAACUUGGAAUACAGUACAGUGAAGAAAAUCUAAAGCUGCAUCUCAUUCAACAGGAAUGAAUGUAAUAUAGUAACAUUGGUCCUCACCAUGGCAAGGAAAGUGGUGGCUCUUCAAAUCUGAAUGAUGAAAGACCUGUGUUUGGACUUUGAGACAAAAAGCUGUUAAUGAAGGCUGUUAACCAGCAGUUACAGUGUCUUGUUUUAGAGUUACUUCUUUCCAUAAUGUACAAGUGGAUCAAAGGGUGGCAAGACUGAAGGUAGGAAAACCAAUUAGGAAGUGAGAAACUCGCAACUGGAAAAUAGGACAGGAUAUCUACCUGGAUGACCACCCACAUCAUUGACCAAAAUGGAGAAAGCACACUAAGUUAUCAAGAAUAAAUCAAUCUGUGUUGCAUAAGUGGCCACAAGUACUGGGAUCACCUACCCAUUGAGCCCCUAAAUUUAACUAGCAAAGAGUGGGAAAUAAAGAAGGCCAAGGGACCAAUGAUGAGCACCGGGAACUGAUGGCUCUUUUUGAUACUAAGACCAAAUUAGGAACGCGAAGCACUGACAAUGCUGCCCCAUCCACCACUGAUUUUUACCAAGGAGUACUUAGCAAAAUCAAAAGAAGAACUUGUAUCCUCAAGAUGGUAUCACAAUGGGCCUACUGAAAACUAAAUCUUAUGACUUUUUAGGAAUUUAGAGAUGAUCACUCCACGAGACACUGAAAUAGUGUCUAGCUUGGCAAGGUAGAAGUCUGUUUCUCUGACAUGUGAUAGUCUUGUUGUAAGUAGUCCUGGACUAAAAUGCUGUCAGCAACAUAGACUUCCUCAGUGUUCCUGCUCUGGAACUCCCAAGGCAGUGGUUCCCAAACUCUGCUGCACACUGAAAUCACUUGAUUUUUUAAAACAACGAUAUCUGGCUUCCACCCUGAGACAUUCUCAUUUGAUUGGUACACAUGGUGUGACCUGGGAACUGGGAUUUUUAAAGUUCCCCAGGUAAUUCUAACAUGCAGCAAAGUCUGGAGAUGACUACCCUAAGGAACUGGGCCCACCGCAUGGUCUGAGAGGGCUUACCGCCAUACCUGCACUGCACUCCAAACAGUGGGACAAAGCAAGGGGCACGAACCAGAAGCUGCACACACCAUCUCUGCUCACCCUCACUGGCCAGUCACAUGGCCAUACCUGGUUGCAUGAGAUUCUGAAAAAUGUAACUUGUAUUCAUCCAGCCAUGUGCCCAGCUAAAAAUUUUUAUUCAGCAAGAAGAGGAAGGCACGUAUUGGAAGAUAACCAGCAAUCUCUCCCACCCCGACACUUGUCUUUUUCAAACAGAAGCAGCCCAAUGUGGCAAAAGCACUGAUCCUUAGAUUUGGAGACAAAACAACAACGGGCUUCUCUGACUUUUGUCAGACAUCUUACACAUCACAUGUAGAUAUAGUCAGAGACUGUAACGAAUCAUUGCCAGUGGGAGGAAGAUACAAGCUUGGAGAUAUGCAUCAGAAUGACUACCCAUGCAAAUUCCUGAAUUUGAGUGAGGUGUUGGAGGAAUAAAUUGUUCUAUGGGACAAAAUCAGGUGCAAUAUCAAAAUUCCAUGUACCCACUCAGUUGACUGAAUACAGUGAAACAUUUCCAGUACAACAAUAUAGGAAAACUUCAAAUAAUGGGGUAUUCUCGAAUUUCUACUAAACACAUCAUCUCUGGCCUGACACUAUCUUGUUAAACUAUUUGUUGAGACUCUUCACUCUAGAUUUGCUUGGUGCUGCCUUUGCAUUCAAGUCCUGUUUUCCAGAAGAAAUACAGACAUAAUCCAAUUGUAAUUUCAUCACCAUGCAUCUUGGAUGCUGCAGUUAGCCUAAAUAAAAUAUACUAAUCAUA